rnacentral:rRNA from 1 species
UACGUAGGGGGCAAGCGUUGUCCGGAAUUAUUGGGCGUAAAGAGCUCGUAGGCGGUCUGUUGCGUCCGCUGUGAAAUCUCGGGGCUUAACCCCGAGCCUGCAGUGGAUACGGGCAGACUAGAGGUAGGUAGGGGAGAAUGGAAUUCCCGGUGUAGCGGUGAAAUGCGCAGAUAUCGGGAGGAACACCGGUGGCGAAGGCGGUUCUCUGGGCCUUACCUGACGCUGAGGAGCGAAAGCGUGGGGAGCGAACAGG